CUAUUGGCAACCCCUUCGUAUCCCCCUCGAACUCCUACAUUUAGCCCCCAAAUCUUUUCCCCGUACCCUAUUUGUCUUCUACUAUUGAGUGGGCAGCUAUGGUGGUGGGCGGCGACAAUUCGGUGGGCGACGGAAAGUGUGGUGGGCGAUGGCAAUUGGGGGUGUUAUCAAUUAUUCGUUGACUAUAAAUCGUGGUGAGAGGCAGAGGAGUAUGAUUGAACAAUGGUGCUCAACAAAAUGGCAUGACUGGUUGGCAUUAUCUGUGGUUUAGGAGAAAGGCAUGGAAGAGCUACUGGACAUGGGUUGCUCUGUUUUGGAGUGUGAAAAACAAAGAGGCAAAUAUAUGAAAGAAAAGAGGAUCGGCCUGGGUGAUGGACUGCGAUGGGGGGCAAUGAAUGUCGGUGUCGGACUGGUGGUGGUGCACUGGGGGCGGUACUGGAACUCUGGUUUUUAAGCGGCAGUUUUAAGAAAAUGGAAAAUCUCCUCUCGGCCUGGGCUUCUUCCGCUUUUGAUUUCAGUGUUUUACCAUGUGCAUAAGUGUAUUGUAAGUUUGGUGUAAUUUGUGACGUGGCAGCAGAUGUGUAGAAGGCUCUUAUAGUAAAAAAAGCAGGCCGACCGCAUAGAAGUGUGACUAUUUUUAUUUCACUAAAGACGUGUAUAGGCUAGCCAGUGAGAUAAAAUUCAAUGUGCUAUGUAACAGAAUUGUGGAAUAACCUAAAAAAAAGGGUAGGGAACAACCACAAACAACUGAUCAUCGUACCCCAGGUUGCAGUGGUUUUCCUCUCUUUGUUUGCAACUUUGCAGCAAUGAGACGUGCAAAAGAACCUAGACAACUCUUCCACUUUCAAAUGGCCACUCAACAGCUACUUUCCCCAAGACCCAUUCUCAGAGUCCUCACAUUCUUCUUCACAAGACCACCAUCCCACAACCAAGCUCAGGGGUGGUGGAGCUUCAUGGAGGAGAAAGAGCUUCGUGGGGGCGAUAGAGCUUGGUGGUGCGACGACGUUUUCCAAUUGUGACUGUGAACGACCUGGUUUGGUGUGGUGGCAGACUGGUGCAAAAAAAAAAAAAAAAAAAAAAAAAAAAAAAAAAAGAUGAAGUUCGUAUGUUUUGACUUCUCACGUUCUCAUGAGAAAGGAACCUUCCUUGUUAUAAUUAGAAUAAACCAAUUUUAAUGUGUACGUUAUAAAACUUCGUACGUAUCUUAUUUUCAUGGUGGCUGUUAGACGCCCAACCAGUCAGAAGUGGAAUUGAUAAUAAAAUCCUCUAUAAUUCUGUAAAUAUAGGUACGUUGUCGAACUAUGUUAAUUUUGAAUCGUCAUGUAAUUGAUUUGCUUGUAUUUGCUUUUAUCACUUGAUCUUCGUGAUUCUUUUAGGUAA